UUACAAUCAGGUUCUAUAAAA
rnacentral:piRNA from 1 species